CUCAAAUGCACAUAGGAAAUUGCCAUCAUGGACAAAUCCAAAAUGAAGUAGACGUGGAAGGCUGAGAUUUGGAACAAACUGCUAUGGCUGGGAAGUAGCAAGUAGAGUCCUAUAGACCACCCAGCCUGGGAAGUAUCAUCCUAUUUGCUGCUGUCAUUCCAGGCCACGUAUCCUUCCAAGUACCCUUCCACGUGACCUUCCCUCUGCUUGUCUUGCCAAAUGGCAGUAGCAAAAAUGGAGGAGGGGCUUUUGUCUCAGCAGCCAGGUACCAUGACGAGUCCCAUUUUACUCCUGAAGAAAUGGAGGCAAAAAGAAGUAACAUACUUACUCAGGGUUGCACAACUCUAAGUGGCAGAUCCUUUAUAAAGGUAUGGAUGUUAAGUCAGUCAGUCCCUGUAAACUUCUCAGUAUUCUGCUCAACACAUAGAAAACAUUCAAUAAACGUUAGCAUUAUUCUAGUGGUGACAGGUGAUUAUUAGGCCCAUGGAAUUACUGUUGUCCCUAUUACCCUCACUACCCUCAGAUUGUGAGGGAGCUCAUCUCUGGGGUCACUUCAUUUAUCUUAACAAAAUGAUAAGGAAACUGUGGUUUCAAGCCUCAGUUGACUGAUCUACCUUUUCUCUUCUAUAGCCACAGACCACAUUCUUAAUCUUUGAGGGGACCUGCUGAGAAAGUUGCCAUAAUUAGCAUCCCUGUGUUUGCCCACAGAUAAGAUAAAUGUAAAUAUAGUUGAAUGCAAAUGUUGAUGCAUAUCAUUUCUCACUUGUGCUGGAGCAGGAACUGGUGAAUGAGGAGUUGAGUUAUGUUGGAUGCCCAGGAAAGAGAUUAAUGUGGGAACCCUGUACCUGGGACUUGAGGAGAACAGAUCAGCUGGUUUGAGAUGUUGGGGUGUUGGAGGCAGACUGGAAAAGGAAUUUCCUUCUGACUCAGAAAAUGUGCUGGAGUAAAAAGAAAAUGGCAUUCACUCACUCAUUGAACAUUCACUCUGCGAUAGAAGCUGGAGAUAUAAAGUUGAAGAAGACGCAACCCCUCUAGGAUGUGAUGUUGUGGUCCGGAGGACAGACGUGGACAAAUGAUUACACUGUGGGGUGAUGCACAGGGAUACACUCUAGAGGUGCAUACGGUGUGGUGGAGUUUUCCUGGAGUUAGAAUCCUUCAGAACAAGUCAGAGGGACAAAAAGGACGGGGGAAGAAUUUGAGGUGGAGGGAAAAGCAUGUGCAAAGGUGUGGGUGUAACACAGCAGGGCACGGGCAGCCAUUGCAGGGGUUUAGAAGGAUGGCGUGCAUGAUGCAUGUGAGGAGUGGAGGGGUGCGGCGUCACGGGGUCGCAUCAUGGAGGGGGCUGAAAGCCCUGUUAAGGAGUUUCGACUUUUACCUUAAGGGAUAUAGAGAGCCACCACAGGUUUUUUUAAGAAAGGAAAGAGGCAUGAUUAUAUCUUAGCUUUACAAGCCAAGUUUUUUCUUCAAAUAUUGGCCAAGGAAAAGCUGAGCUCCCUUGAGGUGGGAGUGGGUUUGUGGGAGAGCGAGCACAGUGGGAAUGGGUUCCAGGCAGCGGCUGCCAGUGGCCCUGGAAAAUGCUAGGAG
rnacentral:lncRNA from 1 species